CUACAGGCUUAACACAUGCAAGUCGAGGGGCAGCAUUUUAGUUUGCUUGCAAACUGAAGAUGGCGACCGGCGCACGGGUGAGUAACACGUAUCCAACCUGCCGAUAACUCCGGAAUAGCCUUUCGAAAGAAAGAUUAAUACCGGAUAGCAUACGAAUAUCGCAUGAUAUUUUUAUUAAAGAAUUUCGGUUAUCGAUGGGGAUGCGUUCCAUUAGUUUGUUGGCGGGGUAACGGCCCACCAAGACUACGAUGGAUAGGGGUUCUGAGAGGAAGGUCCCCCACAUUGGAACUGAGACACGGUCCAAACUCCUACGGGAGGCAGCAGUGAGGAAUAUUGGUCAAUGGGCGAGAGCCUGAACCAGCCAAGUAGCGUGAAGGAUGAAGGCUCUAUGGGUCGUAAACUUCUUUUAUAUGGGAAUAAAGUUUUCCACGUGUGGAAUUUUGUAUGUACCAUAUGAACAAGGAUCGGCUAACUCCGUGCCAGCAGCCGCGGUAAUACGGAGGAUCCGAGCGUUAUCCGGAUUUAUUGGGUUUAAAGGGAGCGUAGGUGGAUUGUUAAGUCAGUUGUGAAAGUUUGCGGCUCAACCGUAAAAUUGCAGUUGAAACUGGCAGUCUUGAGUACAGUAGAGGUGGGCGGAAUUCGUGGUGUAGCGGUGAAAUGCUUAGAUAUCACGAAGAACUCCGAUUGCGAAGGCAGCUCACUAGACUGUCACUGACACUGAUGCUCGAAAGUGUGGGUAUCAAACAGGAUUAGAUACCCUGGUAGUCCACACAGUAAACGAUGAAUACUCGCUGUUUGCGAUAUACAGUAAGCGGCCAAGCGAAAGCAUUAAGUAUUCCACCUGGGGAGUACGCCGGCAACGGUGAGACUCAAAGGAAUUGACGGGGGCCCGCACAAGCGGAGGAACAUGUGGUUUAAUUCGAUGGUACGCGAGGAACCUUACCCGGGCUUAAAUUGCAACAGAAUAUAUUGGAAACAGUAUAGCCGUAAGGCUGUUGUGAAGGUGCUGCAUGGUUGUCGUCAGCUCGUGCCGUGAGGCGUCGGCUUAAGUGCCAUAACGAGCGCAACCCUUAUCUUUAGUUACUAACAGGUCAUGCUGAGGACUCUAGAGAGACUGCCGUCGUAAGAUGUGAGGAAGGUGGGGAUGACGUCAAAUCAGCACGGCCCUUACGUCCGGGGCUACACACGUGUUACAAUGGGGGGUACAGAAGGCGGCUACCUGGUGACAGGAUGCUAAUCCCAAAAACCUCUCUCAGUUCGGAUCGAAGUCUGCAACCCGACUUCGUGAAGCUGGAUUCGCUAGUAAUCGCGCAUCAGCCAUGGCGCGGUGAAUACGUUCCCGGGCCUUGUACACACCGCCCGUCAAGCCAUGAAAGCCGGGGGUACCUGAAGUACGUAACCGCAAGGAGCGUCCUAGGGUAAAACUGGUAAUUG
rnacentral:rRNA from 1 species